rnacentral:snRNA from 1 species
ACACGCACCUGGCAUGGGGAAGGCAUGGUCACCAAGACGGUUUUCUCAGGGAGGCCUAUCCAUUGCUCUCUGAGCCACUGCAUUCCCCCAAAUCCAGGAAACUCAGCUGCAUAGUUUGUGCUAGCAUGCCCUCUCUGCUGAAACAUA